GUUUGCAAAAGGCUUGUGUGCUCAGCAAGCCUCCAUGUCACUAGGGUACCAAGGUUGUUCCAGGAGGGAUGCAUUGAAGCUGGAACUGGAGAAGCCGUCGGCAACCAUCUCAGCCCUUGGGAGGUGGAAAUAGGAGACUACAGAGUUCAAGGUCACAUUGGGCCACACAGGAACUUCAAGGCCAGCCUGGCCUGCAUGAGACCAUGUUUCAAAACACCCCCUUCCCCAAACAAAGCAAAACUAAGGUCCUCCUGGCCAAGAAAACAGUGUGUGGGAUCCUCUGAGUUUAUCUUGCACAUGUCUGCUGUUGGUGCUCCAUCUGGCCCAAGGGGAAAUUCCACCCAGCUGUCCCCUCCCAGUAGGCUUGAUUGGCAGGGUGCCUACCUAGUGAGGAGAACUCUCAGGCAUGGCAUGUGCUAUAUUUGCCAAAGGACAGAGCAUCCGACCAGCUGGAAGGGGCCAGUUUACAUUCUGGAACUUACUAGAAGCUUUAUAAGAACACACUCAAAUACAGACGGACAGGUCUUCAUGAAGUUCUGCAGCCUGGACAGGGACCAGACUCAAACAGAUCCCGUAAGACACAGAAGCUCUGCGAUCAGAAAGACUAGACUUCAUGCUCUCAGAGAGGCAGCCUGGAAGCAACAGCCUCCUUACCUGGUGUCUUCCUGAAGCAAAUCAGGAAUCAAGUGCUUCGGUGGUCCUCCGGUCCGUGGGAAGAAAGCGCUUCCUGUGAGCGCACUGACCACAAAGCCGGCAGGUGCAUGGGGGCUCUCAGUGCGAACCUUGUGUUCUCAGUGGCGGUUAAGUGUGUGUCCAGCAAACAAGAGGAUGGGGGAGGAGCCAUGUGUGUGCGGGCUCUUUGACUGAUUGCACGUUUGUGUCCUGAUUGGGAAGGCAGCCUCAGUGGACCUUUUCAAGGCACAGCAUCUCCUCCUGGAUAUAGAAUAGCGAUGGCGAUUGUCGCUGAGCACCUACCUGCCUAAGAACUGUGAACAAAAUUAAACUAACUUUCUUGACCUCUGCAGCAGACUGUAC
rnacentral:lncRNA from 1 species